CAAACCACACAGUCAGCAAAGGUGCAGGCCUGUGCGCAAAAUGCGAGGAUUUGCAACAGUUCCCAUCAUAUGUUACACACAAAAACAGAACACCAAAGUAUGUAAUGUAUUAUGGUUUGGGUUCUAGAGGCAUACAGAAGUCUGGAAUGAAACUGAAAAUUCAUGAUGGCUAGGUGAGGGGGAGAACUCUUAACUGAUUUUACUGUAUUCUUUACAACUCUAAAUUUUCCAAUUUUUUCUACCAGUUCCAUACAUUACUUUACAAAGUGCCUAUCGCAUCAUAAGAACUCAACACAUUUUACAUGUUUGCUACUAAAAUAUGAGAAUACAGCAAAUGUUAAAAUGAUAGACAUCCAAACUAGAAAAUCAAUACUGCCUUUUUCUUUCUUAAAAAAAUUCUGUAUAAAUUUUGAGACAAGACUAAGUCACUAAAUUGCCCAGGCUGAGCUCAAACAUGUGAUCCUCCUGCCUCAGCCUCCAGUGGAGUAAAUCUUUACAGACCCGGAAAGAUUCUGAGCAGAGUGAAGAGUGCAUAGCAGGGCCUGCCUCCCUACUUCUGCUGAUUCUGGCUUGAGCCGAGGAGACUGAGGGUUUGUUUGUGAGGAUUAGAAGGGAAAAAGAGAGAUUGAGAGAGGAAGACACCUGGCUGGAGUAUUCAGAAUGCGGUGCCAUGUUAUUCGUUCUUUGCAGAGUUUGACUUUUAUUAGCAGAAACUUGCAUGCAGAAAGUGAAGGCUCUGUCUGCUCUCUCUGGGGCAGACAGCCCAGGGUACAGCCUGGGUGUGAAGACACACGGAGUCACAAGGAGCUCUGUGUGCACCAAUCUGUGUGAGUCAGGUGCUAGGGAGAUGCAGGGACCUCAUUAUUUAAGGGCAUUCUAUAGUCAGACUUUUCAGGAGGAGGAUUCCUGUGUUGCCUGUAGUGAUGAGUGAGAAGAAUCACUUUCAACUGCCAAUCUGGGCAGGAGCAAAGAUGACAAUGAACACAGUUAGCAUUCCAAGAACAAGUGGGCUGAUAGGAGAGCCAGAGCUGGCUCCUGGCCAAGGCAGAGAUGGUGAAUAGGAGUCUGAGGCAGUUAGGUUUCUGCCCAGAGCACUUGUGACUAGACUCACUGAUAACCCAAGGUGAAUCAACAAAUAACAAGAUUUUGCUGUCAAUAAAUGAAGGAAACAAAACAUAACGGAUAAAGAACAGUGAAUCUAAGAAAAGAGAGAAGAGGAUUCACGGCAGUAAAUUAAAACACAACAACCAUACUGCUCAAAGCAUUCAACUUACAGGAAAGUAUUUUUGAACAACAUCAAAAUCGAUAAAACCGAUUACAAUCCAAA